UCAAGCUACUAAGGGCACGGGGUGGAUGCCUUGGCGCCAAGAGCCGAUGAAGGACGUGGCAGGCUGCGAAAAGCCUCGGGGAGAAGCGAGCAUUCGUUGAUCCGGGGAUGUCCGAAUGGGGAAACCCGGCUGGGGUCAUGCCCAGUCACCCCUGGUCGAACACAUAGACCAGGCGGAGGUAAGCCAGCGAACUGAAACAUCUCAGUAGCUGGAGGAAAAGAGAUCAUUCCCUGAGUAGUGGCGAGCGAAACGGGAAUAGCCCAAACUCGCUCAGCGUGAUAGACGGCAGUCGUUUCUGAGUGGGGGUUGUAGGAGUCGAUAUCGGAGCCCUGCCGGGCUCCGGCGGAGUCACAAAGCCAUUCGCUAGUCGAACCGGUCAGGAAAGGCCGGCCAUAGAAGGUGAUAGCCCUGUAGGCGAAAGUGACAUGGCCUCCGUGAUCGACCACCUGAGUACCACGUGGAAGGUCUCUCAUGUGGGAACCUGGGCGGACCACCGUCCAAGGCUAAAUACUCUUGGCGACCGAUAGUGAACCAGUACCGUGAGGGAAAGGUGAAAAGCACCCCGGAAGGGGAGUGAAAUAGUACCUGAAACCGUGUGCCUACAAGCGGUCGGAGCGGAGUAAUCCGUGACGGCGUGCCUUUUGCAUAAUGAGCCAGCGAGUUAGUCUUCCACGGCAAGGUUAAGGAAACGGAGCCGUAGCGAAAGCGAGUCUGAACAGGGCGAUUCAGUCGUGGGAGCUAGACCCGAAACUGAGUGAUCUACCCAUGGGCAGGUUGAAGCGGGGGUAAGACCCCGUGGAGGACCGAACCCACGUCGGUUGAAAACGGCGGGGAUGAGCUGUGGGUCGGAGUGAAAGGCUAAUCAAACUCGGAGAUAGCUGGUUCUCCCCGAAAUAUAUUUAGGUAUAGCGUCGCGAGUUCAGUUGUGGUUGUAGAGCACUGUUUGGCCUAGGGGGCCUACCAGCUUACCGAAGUCAGGCAAACUCCGAAUGCCACAACUCCAGAUCGCGGCAGUCAGAGUGCGGGGGAUAAGCUUCGUGCUCGAAAGGGAAACAGCCCAGACCGUCGGCUAAGGUCCCUAAUUUCAUGCUAAGUGGGAAACGAUGUCCGAUUGCAGAGACAACCAGGAUGUUGGCUUAGAAGCAGCCACCAUUCAAAGAGUGCGUAACAGCUCACUGGUCAAGUGGUCGGGCGCGGACAAUGUAACGGGGCUCAAGCAUGGAACCGAAGCCACGGACUUCACGCUUGCGUGGAGUGGUAGGGGAGCGUUCCCAGGGCGGUGAAGCGGCGGCGAUAAGCCUGCCGUGGAGCGCUGGGAAGUGAGAAUGCUGGCAUGAGUAACGAAAGAGGAGUGAGAAACUCCUCCGCCGAAUGCCCAAGGGUUCCUGAGUAAAGCUAAUCUGCUCAGGGUUAGUCGGGACCUAAGGCGAGGCCGACAGGCGUAGUCGAUGGACAACAGGUUGAUAUUCCUGUACCACGUCCCCACCGCUAUCACCAAUGGCGGGACGGGGUAGGCUACGGAAUCCCAGGCGAUGGUCGUCCUGGGGUAACCGCGUAGGGCGGGUGAUAGGGAAAUCCGUCACCCAGUAAGCCUGAGACGGGAUGCCGAGCCCAGAGAUGGGCGAAGUUCCUGAAGCCAUGCCUCCUAGAAAAGCGUCUAGGGAGGUGGGACGUGCCCGUACCAAAACCGACACAGGUAGGCAGGUAGAGAAUACCAAGGCGAUCGGAAGAACCCUCGAAAAGGAACUCGGCAAAAUGGCCCCGUAACUUCGGGAGAAGGGGCGCCACGGUAGGGUGAAAAUCCCUCGCGGAUUUAGCCCGAGGUGGCCGCAGUGAAACGGCCCAACCGACUGUUUACCAAAAACACAGGUCUCUGCGAAGUCGAAAGACGACGUAUAGGGGCUGACGCCUGCCCGGUGCCGGAAGGUCAAGCGGAGAGGUUAGCCUUCGGGCGAAGCCUUGAAGCCAAGCCCCGGUAAACGGCGGCGGUAACUAUAACCGUCCUAAGGUAGCGAAAUUCCUUGUCAGGUAAGUUCUGACCCGCACGAAUGGCGUAAUGAUAUGGGUACUGUCUCGACGAAGAGCUCGGUGAAAGUGCAUUGACGGUAAAGAUGCCGUCUGUCCGCAGCAGGACGAAAAGACCCCGUGGAGCUUUACUACAGCUUGACAUUGGACCGGGGGUAUACAUGUGUAGCAUAGGUGGGAGACUUUGAAGCUUAGGCGCUAGCCUAGGUGGAGUCACCGGUGAAAUACCACCCUUGUAUGCCUCUUGUUCUUACCGGGACCACUAAAAGUACAUGAG
rnacentral:rRNA from 1 species